AUGCUUAAAAUUGAUCUUGCCAAAGCUUUUGAUCGUUUAGAAUGAAAUUUCAUAGUGUCGGCGCUUACGCGCAAAGGGCUGCAUGGUCAUUUUAUUAAUUUGAUUCAUGCUUGCAUCUCUUCUCCCACUUUCUCUGUGCUCAUUAAUGGACAACCUUCUCACAAGUUUAGAAGUUUUUGAGGUAUUCGUCAAGGUUGCCCUAUCUCCCCCUAUUUGUUUGUUAUUGCUAUAAAUGAAUUAUCCAUUGCUCUUAAUGAAGCGCUUGCUGCUCAUCAUCUCCAGGGUAUUUCUCUUGGUCCAGAUUGUCCUUCCAUUCACUCUCUUUUAUUUGCUGAUGCCCUUUUGGUUUGUGGGAAAGCCACUUUAUAGGAGGCUCAUGCUAUGGCUAAUAUUAUUCAUCACUCACAAAUAGAAAAAGGGCCUAUUGUCCCGGUUGGUAAGGGCCUUUUGUCCCGGUUUUUGAACCGGGACUAA
rnacentral:rRNA from 1 species